CGACCGGCGCACGGGUGAGUAACACGUAUGCAACCUGCCCUCUUCAGGGGGACAACCUUCCGAAAGGGAGGCUAAUCCCGCGUAUAUCGGUUUCGGGCANCCGUUAGAUCGAGGAAAGAUUCAUCGGAAGAGGAUGGGCAUGCGGCGCAUUAGCUAGACGGCGGGGUAACGGCCCACCGUGGCGACGAUGCGUAGGGGUUCUGAGAGGGAGGUCCCCCACACUGGUACUGAGACACGGACCAGACUCCUACGGGAGGCAGCAG
rnacentral:rRNA from 1 species